rnacentral:lncRNA from 1 species
AUGAGUUUGUUUAGAGCCAAACAUUUGUAUCAUGCAUCACCUGAACGACUCCUCCUGUCCUCGUUGCUCCUCCUGUCCUUGUUGCUCCUUCAUGUCCUCGUUGCUCCUUCAUGUCCUCGUUGCUCCUCCUGUCCUCGUUGCUCCUUCAUGUCCUCGUUGCUCCUCCUGUCCUCGUUGCUCCUCCUGUCCUCGUUGCUCCUUCAUGUCCUCGUUGCUCCUCCUGUCCUCGUUGCUCCUUCAUGUCCUCGUUGCUCCUUCAUGUCCUCGUUGCUCCUUCAUGUCCUCGUUGCUCCUUCAUGUCCUCGUUGCUCCUCCUGUCCUUGUUGCUCCUUCAUGUCCUCGUUGCUCCUUCAUGUCCUCGUUGCUCCUUCAUGUCCUCGUUGCUCCUCCUGUCCUCGUUGCUCCUUCAUGUCCUCGUUGCUCCUCCUGUCCUCGUUGCUCCUCCUGUCCUCGUUGCUCCUCAUGUCCUCGUUGCUCUUCCUGUCCUCGUUGCUCCUUCAUGUCCUCGUUGCUCCUCCUGUCCUCUUUGCUCCUCCUGUCCUCGUUGCUCCUUCAUGUCCUCGUUGCUCCUCCUGUCCUCGUUGCUCCUCCUGUCCUCGUUGCUCCUUCAUGUCCUCGUUGCUCCUUCAUGUCCUCGUUGCUCCUACUGUCCUCGUUGCUCCUCCUGUCCUCGUUGCUCCUUCAUGUCCUCGUUGCUCCUCCAGUCCUCGUUGCUCCUUCAUGUCCUCGUUGCUCCUCCUGUCCUUGUUGCUCCUUCAUGUCCUCGUUGCUCCUUCAUGUCCUCGUUGCUCCUUCAUGUCCUCGUUGCUCCUCCUGUCCUCGUUGCUCCUCCUGUCCUCGUUGCUCCUCCUGUCCUUGUUGCUCCUUCAUGUCCUCGUUGCUCCUCCUGUCCUCUUUGCUCCUCCUGUCCUCGUUGCUCCUUCAUGUCCUCGUUGCUCCUCCUGUCCUCGUUGCUCCUCCUGUCCUCGUUGCUCCUCCUGUCCUCGUUGCUCCUUCAUGUCCUCGUUGCUCCUCCUGUCCUCGUUGCUCCUCCUGUCCUCGUUGCUCCUUCAUGUCCUCGUUGCUCCUUCAUGUCCUCGUUGCUCCUCCUGUCCUCGUUGCUCUUCCUGUCCUCGUUGCUCCUCCUGUCCUCGUUGCUCCUCCUGUCCUCGUUGCUCCAUUCUGACCUCCUGA